GCUUAUUGCAGGUUUCCUUCCUCCUGCUUCUUCAGAUCCCCAGGGAACCACGCAAAGCCGGAGCUCCUGCUCCAGCUGCGGCUGUGCCGGGGGCUGAAGGGGGGCAGGAGGACCCUCAGCUGAGGUUGCACUGCUUUCUGUGUCUGCACCCCGUGGGGUGGGACCCCCACGUUCCAUCCCGACUCCAUUACCCGCACCCCCAGCACACCCAGGUGCUGAUUUGCUCCCCUCUGCCCAUGUCCCCCCCGGCAGUUCUGGGCAGUGCCAGGAAGCGAAACCCAACUGUUUGUGCAGAGCAAAUCCCACAGCAGACAUUCCUCCUCUGAUUGAAACCAGACCUCACGCGAUGCUGCCGGAGCUGCUGGCGGGGGCGCGUUAACCAGAGCAGAGCAUGCGCUCCCAAAAGGGGAUUGGGGUCUCUCUGCUUGGGGACAUGGGUUGGCCAAGUGGGUCAGGGUCCAAGUGAUGGGAUGAAGAUGUGUGGGGUGGAGGUGUAUGGGAUGGAUGUAUAUGGGAUGGAGGUGUAUGGGGUGAACAUGUAUGGGAUGGAGCUAUAUGGGAUGGAGGUGUAUGGGAUGGAGAUGUAUGGGAUGGAGGUAUAUGGGAUGGAGGUGUAUGGGAUAGAAGUGUAUGGGAUGGAGGUGUAUGGGAUGGAGGUGAAUGGGAUGGAGGUGUAUGGGGUGAAGAUGUGCAGACCCAACCGGCAGCAGCCACAAGCAUAGAGGAGAGAGGAGGAUGAGGCAGGGAAACCCCCAUGGCCUUCUCAAACGCUGUGUCAUCUCCUCCCCGAAGCCAAACAAAAAAAUCGCUACCAG
ensembl:lncRNA